GAGGGGCUGGGGCUCAGUGGUAGAGCACUUGCCUGGCAUGCAUGCUGCCCAGGUUCGAUCCUCAGCACCACA
rnacentral:tRNA from 1 species